rnacentral:pre_miRNA from 1 species
AAUAGAACUGUUGGGUUAUAUGGUAAGUAUACAUUUAACUUUGUAAGAAAUUGCCAAACUGCUUUCUAAAGUGGCUGUACUAUUUUUAUAUUCCCAUCCACAAU